UACAGAGGGUGCAAGCGUUAAUCAGAAUUACUGGGCGUAAAGCGUGCGUAGACGGUUACAUAAGUCAGAUGUGAAAGCCCCGGGCUCAACCUGGGAAUUGCAUUUGAGACUGUGUAGCUAGGGUGCGGAAGAGGGAAGCGGAAUUUCCGGUGUAGCGGUGAAAUGCGUAGAUAUCGGAAGGAACACCAGUGGCGAAAGCGGCUUCCUGGUCCAGCACCGACGUUCAGGCACGAAAGCGUGGGGAGCAAACAGG
rnacentral:rRNA from 1 species